rnacentral:misc_RNA from 1 species
AAGUCGUAACAAGGUUUCCGUAGGUGAACCUGCGGAAGGAUCAUUACCGAGUGCGGGUUCCAACGAGCCCAACCUCCCACCCGUGUUUACCAUGACCGCGUUGCCUCGGCGGGCCCACUGGGGCCUGGCCCCGGUCGCCGGGGGGCUUCUGCCCCCGGGUCCGCGCCCGCCGAAGCGCCCUGGAACCCUGUCUGAAUAGUGAGUCUGAGUCGAUGAUUAAAUCAUUAAAACUUUCAACAACGGAUCUCUUGGUUCCG